rnacentral:piRNA from 1 species
UGGAUGCUUAUUGACUCUUCCAUCUCUCUU